AGACCCUGGCCUUUUAGUCUCGUGGAGUUCGGCGGGCGCAGCUGCGGUUAAUAUGUAGCGGGUUGGGGUUGCGGUCCCAGACUGACCCUGGGCCCAGGAGUUUGUCUCCAGAGUCUGCGGGGGUGCAGCGGCCUGAGUUCCAAGCGCAGAGCAGCCAUACAGCUCCAGAUGGUGCUGUCUGAAGGAUACCGAGUCCUAACCCCCACGGAACAGCCUCCUUAUUCCAGGCUGCUGGAUGAAUAUCGGCAACCACCUCCCUCAGCUGACAGCAAGUAUGAGAACCUAAAACCCCCAACGACCCUGAUCAGCUUGAAGCAGCCAGAGCAGUCUUCUCCCAAAAGACCCGAAAGAGUUGGGUUUCCAUAACUUCAGGAGGGGAAAUGUUAGGUAGGAAACGAGACAUGAGCAGCUGGGGUGGGGUCUGGCCCUGGGUCCUGACAGGGGCGGACAAACAUUGCCUCCUGACCACCUCUCUUGCCAGCCCGCAGUUUCGGCACCAACUGGGUCUCGGAGCAAGCCAAAGGUUAGGUAGUGGCUCGAGAGCCUAUGACAUGUAUGGGCCUGAACACGAAGCCUUAUGUGCAACUUUUUGGCUCUGUGACCCCCGGAAAGUCAUUUAUCUCUCCUGAGAUUUAGUGUCCUCGUGUAACAAAUAUUGAUACAGAUUUGGCCAGUGACGGGCAGGAGUACGACACAUCACUGUAGAACUAAUAAGAAUAUAAAUAUAAGCUCUUCACAGUAUUUACAUUGAAUCUACAGUUCUCCAGUAUUUGGCCACAAAAGGAGCAUAUGUCAGCAUGAUCGUUUUUUUUCUUUUUUCUUUUUUUAAUGCAUAUAGCAUAAUAUAAGAAGGGAGAUAAUGGAUACAAUGGUGCUAAAUAGAAUAGGAAAGUACAGGAGUUAAUGGGAGAGUUUUCAUAUGGGAAGAAAUGUGACUAGCAAGAUGAACACAGCCCAGUAUGUGCUAGAAGUUCUUCGUGUUGUCCAUCACUGCAACGACCUCAUUUUCCUGAAAUCUUAAAUAAAGGUAUUUAA